rnacentral:rRNA from 1 species
AUUGAACGCUGGCGGCAUGCCUUACACAUGCAAGUCGAACGGUAACAGGUCUUCGGACGCUGACGAGUGGCGAACGGGUGAGUAAUACAUCGGAACGUGCCCAGUCGUGGGGGAUAACUACUCGAAGAGUAGCUAAUACCGCAUACGAUCUGAGGAUGAAAGCGGGGGACCGUUCGGGCCUCGCGCGAUUGGAGCGGCCGAUGGCAGAUUAGCUAGUUGGUGAGGUAAAGGCUCACCAAGGCGACGAUCGGUAGCUGGUCUGAGAGGACGACCAGCCACACUGGGACUGAGACACGGCCCAG